rnacentral:misc_RNA from 1 species
UAAGGGCUUGGUCAUCCUCCGGAUGGACUCUCUAGGCUUCCCUGCUGGCAUUGGGGUAUUCCCUGGUGCAUUGGUUCAGAGCUCCGGGACCCUUCUUUUCGGCUGGAGAUCUCAUGAUCUUGUCAUUUGGUUCUUUAUGGUUCUGUUUUGAUCUUGUUUUGCCUGGUCUUCGACGACUGUCUGUUUUAGCUUUUGGCGUGGUCCACUGGUAUUUGUGGUCUUGUGUCUUUUGUUAUCCUCUGUUUUCGCAUAUUGUUCUUGGCCUUUGAGUUGUUUGGUUGCUUUGUA